UACAGAGGGUGCGAGCGUUGUUCGGAAUUAUUGGGCGUAAAGGGCUCGUAGGCGGUUUGUCACGUCGGGAGUGAAAACUCGGGGCUUAACCCCGAGGCUGCUUCCGAUACGGGCAGACUAGAGGUAUGCAGGGGAGAACAGAAUUCCUGGUGUAGCGGUGAAAUGCGCAGAUAUCAGGAGGAACACCGGUGGCGAAGGCGGUUCUCUGGGCAUUACCUGACGCUGAGGAGCGAAAGUGUGGGGAGCGAACAGG
rnacentral:rRNA from 1 species